rnacentral:lncRNA from 1 species
CGUUGGAAAAGGGUGCAAAGCCCUCUGCCAAUAUGGGAAACAGUAAGAUGAUGUUUGUCUGAAACAGUAACUUCAUUCCUCUUUAAGAAACCAAACACCUCCAGGAGCCAGCUGAUCAGUUUCUACUGACCAGAAAUAAAGCAAUCUUAACUGAAAUAUUCAACAAAAGUACCAAAUUUUGGAGCACAAAAGUUCCAAAAAUGGAAAAAAUAAGCUUUUUGAAAGAGAUAAUGUAAAGCAAAGAGGAGAUUUAUAGUAACAGUGGAUGAACAAGAAACUCUCUCUUAAAAUGGAAAAAAAAAGGAAGUAAAAGCCAGUAACUUCCUUCAUGCAAGGAAAGCUUAAAGCAAAUUAAACAGGAAAAGCUGCAACCCACCUCAGUGAUAAUUUUUUUUGACAGCUUGAAGCAGUGAUCAUUGUUUCUUCUGAAGUGAUAGAAAAGAGUGUUUUUUUUGUUGUUGUUGUUUAGGACUUUAUGAAAUGAUAUAAGUACAAACAAUGCACAUUAA